GGGGAUUUAGCUCAGUGGUAGAGCGCUUGCCUAGGAAGCAGGCCCUGGGUUCGGUCCCCAGCUCCG
rnacentral:tRNA from 1 species